AUUGAACGCUGGCGGCAGGCCUAACACAUGCAAGUCGAACGGUAACAGGAAGCAGCUUGCUGCUUCGCUGACGAGUGGCUGACGGGUGAGUAAUGUCUGGGAAACUGCCUGAUGGAGGGGGAUAACUACUGGAAACGGUAGCUAAUACCGCAUAACGUCGCAAGACCAAAGAGGGGGACCUUAGGGCCUCUUGCCAUCGGAUGUGCCCAGAUGGGAUUAGCUAGUAGGUGGGGUAACGGCUCACCUAGGCGACGAUCCCUAGCUGGUCUGAGAGGAUGACCAGCCACACUGGAACUGAGACACGGUCCAGACUCCUACGGGAGGCAGCAGUGGGGAAUAUUGCACAAUGGGCGCAAGCCUGAUGCAGCCAUGCCGCGUGUAUGAAGAAGGCCUUCGGGUUGUAAAGUACUUUCAGCGGGGAGGAAGGGAGUAAAGUUAAUACCUUUGCUCAUUGACGUUACCCGCAGAAGAAGCACCGGCUAACUCCGUG
rnacentral:rRNA from 1 species